rnacentral:lncRNA from 1 species
UUUUUUUUUUUUUUUCUUUUUUUUUUUCCUUUCCCCACAACUUCAUCCUUUUUUGCAAGCUGUUUUUGUCACCUGAAGUCCCCAAGCCCAAACUCCUCAGGCUGCUCAUCCUUCAGGAUGCAGUUCCAAAAGCAUCUUCUCUGAGAGGCCCUUCCUGACGGCUGACACUUCCUAUACCUUGUCUCGCCCUCUUUGCCUCUAUGUGUCUCUCUCCCUGACCAGUCUUCAAGCUUCUUUUGCCAAAUGAGCCCAUCUCCUGAGCUCAGCAUAGCACCAGCAUAGCCUACGAGGUGAGGAAAUGUUUGAUGAUCCAUAAAGGAAUGGAGCGUCUGAAGGAUUCAGUUCCCUCGACGGAGUGGGCGAGUGCUUAUUAAAUGAACAUCGAUCCCCGCAGCAACAAGUUAAUGAAGUAAUUGUUCACAAUUCCAUAUAUUGACAAGGGACACAAAGUAAUAACAUCAGCUAACAUUCGCAGACGGCCAAUUAUCCUGGGCUCCGGUGCUUGGUCCUUCACCACUGAUUAUCUUAUUUCAUCUUCAUCUCACAACAACUCGACAUGUAAGUGCUAUUAGAGCGCCCACUUUACAGAUGAGAAAAAUGGAGGCAUCAUGCUAGAGUCUUUAAGAACACGGUUCAGAAGUUCCCAUUGUGGCUCAGCAGUAACGAGCCGGACUAGUAUCCUUGAGAAUGCGGGUUCGAUCUCUGGCCUUGCUCAGUGGGUUAAGGAUCUGACGUGGCCGUGAGCCGUGGUGUAGGGUGCAGGCAUGGCUCGGAUCUGGUGUUGCUAUGGCUCUGGGGCAGACCAGCAGGGGUAGCUCCAAUUCGACCCACAGCCUGGGAACGUCCAUAGGUCACAGGUGCGCCCCUAAAAAAAGCAAAAAAGAAAAAGAAAAAAGAAAAAGAGCACCGUCCAUUCUGGGACUUGUUUAUUUUACUAAGGAGUCACAACGCUCACUUCUUGGGUCUUCCAUUUGCCACGGGGGAUGUGGUGACUGUCAGGGGUGGCAGGAGAAGACGCCAUCAGGCUCUUCUGGUCCCUUGCCUCCCUCCUUGUCCCCUGUGUGCUACAUUAACAGAAAGAGUCUGUCCCAUGCAGCUCUACUGCGGGGUCCCACAGGAUGCCUGCCCCUUCCUCUCCCGUUGGAGCUGGUCCCUCCCCCCCAGUUCUCCUUCGAGUCCACCGGGCGUCGUCAGCGCGGAAGUGAAACGAGGAGGCAUCUUCCUGCUCCUCUAACAUCUGCGUAUCUACCUUGUUUUGAGGACCUCAGGCCGCCCUUCAUCUCCCUCAUCCUCUGCGGCCCUUACUCCACCCCGUGAGGUAGGUGUCCUAUCCUGAAGCCACGCACGUGAGGCACCUGACAGCCCCAGAGGUUUAGAAGCUUGUCUAACAUCCGAGAAGGUGGACGCAGAGCGCAGGUUCAAACCGAGGCCCAUCUGCCUCCCAGCGACGCCGCUGAUCAACUAUCUCUGAAGCCCCCCCGCUUUGGACAUGCUCGGCAACACCCAGCAUGUUGUCACUAAAACCCUUUUUGGUGCCGGGGACUGGAAUCUCCUUCUCUGGUUCUUGGUCAAGGUCUCCUUUGAAGCGUGACCUUGGUGGCAGCUUUUCGGUCUGCUCAGAAAAAGUCCCACAGACGCCAUCCGCCGGUGUGAAGUCAAAGACGGUGGCCAAGUGUGAUGGCAGGGAAGACGAGCCGUGUCUCCAGCUGGGAGACUCAGAUCCUUCCCGCGACUGACACCUUUCUCCCCUCUGCUUUUUCGCCUUUUUUUUUUUGUCUUUUUGCCUUUUCUAGGGCCGCUCUGUCGGCAUAUGAAGGCUCCCAGGCUAGGGGUCGAAUCGGAACUGUAGCCACCAGUCUACACCACAGCCACAGCAAUGCAGGGUCCGAGCCACGUCUGCCGCCUACACCAUAGCUCACGGCAACGCUGGAUCCUGAACCCACUGAGCAAGGGCAGGGAUCGAACCCGCAACCUCAUGGUUCCUAGUCGGAUUCAUUAACCACUGCGCCACGACGGGAGCUCCUCUCCCCUCUGCUUUUCAGCAACACAUGCGCUCCUAGUUUGCAGGCAGCUAUCGCUGGUGACCUGGAUGCUGAGAGCCUGUUAUGAAACGAGGCAGCAGCAGGAGAGAGGAGCCCAGAGCCCACGCCCACCCUGUUUGCUUUGUGAAAUUCCAGACAGUUGAAUCGGCUCUACCUCAUCCGAAGAACUCCAGAUUCCCCUUUUCUUAAUGACGUUCCCCUCCUUAAAUGCCUACACAGUUAUCUUUGAAGGAGAAAGAGAAGAGGUGAAUCACUAGCAGGAAGCGGAGGGGAGAGGUGUGCAGUUGGAACGGCAGAUGGCUGCGCGUGUGGGCACGAAGCGGUCUCUGCUGCUCCUUCCACCUCCCUCCGGAAUCGAGUGCUUUGGAAGCAGACAUUCAUUCCAGGGUGGGGGCGCUCAGGUACCAACAUGUAAUUCCACAUCCGCUCGGAUCCCUCUCAGACAUCGCAACUCGGGCUCGGGCUCAAAUUGGGCUGUUUACCCUCUUCUCGAAGCUUUGGCAUUAAACUGUCCAAAGAAAAGGGGAUAAACUCGUCUCACUUAGUGGCAACAGAAUUGGGCCUGCGGUCUGCUUUCUCCUGAGGACAUCCAGUCAGUGCAUGAAUAUUUUCUCGCGCCACAGUACAAGCUCUCUAACCUCAUAAGGGGUUAGAAACGCCUAGAGGGGAGCUGGAGGAGAGAGACUACAUGCAGAUAGCGAUCUGCGGUAAGCAGGAAAACACAGACUGUUCUCGGUGGGGCUUUUGAUGGCGGGGUGCGGAGAGGACAUGAAGACAGGGUGACCUUGGGGAUCCAUGCCCGUGUGUUGCUCCCUAAAGCUACCCUCUGGUUGUAUGAAUGCAGGUGACACCAAAACUGUGGUCAUUUCACUUGGUUUUAAUUGAAAUAAGUUUCUAGAAUCUCAAGAAUCCAAGAGAAUGUACAUUUUUUGAGAAACCAACUUUUUGCAGAAGGCUUUACGUAGGCCCUCCUGUUACCUCUAUGUAAAUGUCCACAUGUCAUCUGGAUGGAUAUACUAGGAGAAGUAAUUAUGGUUAUUUCAUUUUUAGAUUAUGAAACUCAGUCCAUCCACAGACUCUCUUCCAUUGAUUUUUCUUCUCACUUCCAUCACCGCCAUCUGC